rnacentral:rRNA from 1 species
AUCAUGGCUCAGAACGAACGCUGGCGGCAUGCCUAACACAUGCAAGUCGAACGAGACCUUCGGGUCUAGUGGCGCACGGGUGCGUAACGCGUGGGAAUCUGCCCUUGGGUUCGGAAUACAGUUAGAAAUGACUGCUAAUACCGGAUAAUGUCUUCGGACCAAAGAUUUAUCGCCCAGGGAUGAGCCCGCGUAGGAUUAGCUAGUUGGUGAGGUAAAGGCUCACCAAGGCGACGAUCCUUAGCUGGUCUGAGAGGAUGAUCAGCCACACUGGGACUGAGACACGGCCCAGACUCCUACGGGAGGCAGCAGUGGGGAAUAUUGGACAAUGGGCGAAAGCCUGAUCCAGCAAUGCCGCGUGAGUGAUGAAGGCCCUAGGGUUGUAAAGCUCUUUUACCAGGGAUGAUAAUGACAGUACCUGGAGAAUAAGCUCCGGCUAACUCCGUG